UGAGUCUGACAGGUAAUCGCGGCCUGUCUUAAGGACAGGGUGAGGAAAGUCCGGGCUUCAUAGGGCAGGGUGCCGGUUAACGGCCGGUCAGGGUGACCUGAAGGAAAGUGCAACAGAAAUUAUACAGCCUAUGCCACGGCAUAGGUAAUGGUGAAAUGGCAGUGUAAGAGACUACCGCUUUUCUGGUAACAGAAAAGGUCAAUGUAAACCCCACCCGAAGCAAGACCAAACAGGGGACUAUGUGGCUGCCCGUCACGUUUCCGGGUAGGUUGCUAGAGCGUAGUGGCGACAUUACGAGUAGAUAGAUGAUUACCUAAUACAGAACCCGGCUUAUAGUCAGACUCAUUUU
rnacentral:RNase_P_RNA from 1 species